GCAGCUCCGGUUGAAUUUGUCCAGAAAUUGUGAUGAAAUCUACUGUGGGAGAUGGGAAAAGAAGAAGCGGAUUAUUUCUGGAGAGGCUUUGAUGAACAAGGCUGCAGUCAGCGACCUCUCUCAGCCCUCUUUGGACAGCUGUUGAGCCCCAUGUCAUGGCCGCCUGCCAUACAUUCUCAAUAGCCUGGGCGGACACGCUGUGGUUUUUGGCCCUUGUGACGGACUAAGGCUCCAGCACACCUCCCGGGGAGUUGUUUAUAUCACACAGUCCCAUUUGGACAAUCUGCAUUUUGGCGGUUGUGCCAAAAUCCCCAAAAGUGGGAGUGAGUGUCUGGAAGUUUCCAUGAGACUGUAUUCGACUUGACUGGACGGGGGGGGUGAGAUGCUAAGCCAAAUCUAACUGAAGAGGUUUGUGUUGGAAAAAAUGCAUCAUUAAGUUGACACCCUGCAUCGGGAGAACUUAUCAGUCUUGAUGUACUACCAUUCAAAAUGUUCUAGUUGUGGGCUAUGUUUGCCUCGGCUGACAAAGGUAAGACAGAGUGGCUGUGGGACUGGGUUAAUGCUAAGCUUUCCUAUGAGAGUUAUGCUCCGUCCUGACAAGAAUGAUUCACUUCCUGAAGGAUUGGUACUGCGCCAGAGCGCUUCUUCAAGGACAGAUAGCGUACUAACCCACUUUUUAAAAUGACUGAGAGCUCAACCCAGAAAUUCUAGGUGUUUUUAUAAGAGUCAUUCAUGCUUUCUAAGGCUUUGGAAGUGCCACUCAGAUUACAUUACAUGACGAAGUUGGAUCAUUGCGGAGGCCAAAGACAGAAUACAGAUUACUACAGAUUGUAUCAUGUAUCAUGUUUAAAUUACAACAUUAACAAGAAAGAUGAACAUAAACUGAACAAAAUAGUGUUAUUAUUUGGAAAUUUACUUUAAUUUAAUCUAAUUUAGUAAUGAGGACUCCAUAUGGUGUUACUUACCAAACUUAAAAGAAAAGAAUAUGUAUUACUUGCUUUUGGCCUAAAAGUGCAUCCUGGCUUGGCACACGAAAAAAUGUGGCUGUAAAAGCCAACAUAGAAGUCGGGAGUGGCCUCUUCUGCCCACUGUAAAAAAAACCAUGAGACUUCAUUGAGAGUCAUUGGCAAUUUGGCCACAUUAUAUAAUCAAGAAAGACUGAUCUUUUGUAAAGAAAUCAUCACAAGCUCACGAAGUCAGAAGAGUUAAGAUUAGUUUCUUAAUGUCCCUCCUAACAUACAUCUUUCAGUUGACUUCAGUUAGGAAGUGAAUACAUUUCUGUGGGUCUUUUCUUAGCCAUGACAGUGGCUUCAAAAAGGUAUUAUGAGUUGUGAGCAGUUGGUGGCUUUGUGGUGAAAACUCCGACUUUAAAAAGCACAAUCUAAUUUCUUGUUGCUCAAACUUAAACAAAAUUUGCAGUUUCAGCUGCACAUGUUAGCAUUAACAUAUAUGCACAGAAGUGUGUCAUCUGCUUCACCUACUUUGUAAGUGAUCUAAGAAAGUGAUUCUAAUACUACUCAGGAAACCAAUCAAGGAGGGACAAGGGGAAAAAAGGACAAGGAGGAUGCCAUUUCUUAUUUGUCCCUUCUCGCAUCCUUAUAGCUGAGUUUUGAUUUUCUGCCUGCUUCUCGGGCAUUUGGUGCCUUUGGGGAGUCUUGUGGUAUUUAUAGUGCAAUGGAGGGGAGUAGAAGGUGGAGGGGAGGAGAAGGAGAAGGAGAGCUCAUGGUGCUUCGUUCACAAUUACAUGGAAAUACCCAGCACGGUCACGCAUUCGGUGGACGCUAUAUCCUGCGCCGGGUAUAAUCCCAGCAGUCCCGCGGGAGAGCUGGAGUGUGACCGAGCAGAUUAACGUCUACUGCUUCCUCAGCAGACUGGACCGUCCAAUGCUAACAGCCGAGGCAGUCAUUCUCCCAGCUACAGUGGAGUAUGGUAUGAUGGUGCACCAACGCGCCCUCAGGAUCUGUGAACUCCAUCAAUAAUGACUGGAACGCAGAUUACAUGGCUGCAUGCUUGAGCUGCCAAGGACAGGAACAGGGCAGACUGCCCAUGUCCACAUGUGGCUGAACACAAAUAAAAAAAAUGAAUAACA